rnacentral:rRNA from 1 species
GGCCAGACUCCUACGGGAGGCAGCAGUGAGGAAUAUUGGUCAAUGGGCGAGAGCCUGAACCAGCCAAGUCGCGUGAGGGAAGACGGUCCUAUGGAUUGUAAACCUCUUUUGCCGGGGAGCAAAAAGCGGUACGUGUACCGCAUCGAGAGUACCCGGAGAAAAAGCAUCGGCUAACUACGUGCCAGCAGCCGCGGUAAUAUGUAGGGGGCAAGCGUUAUCCGGAAUUACUGGGUGUAAAGGGAGCGUAGACGGGAAUGCAAGUCUGGAGUGAAAGGCGGGGGCCCAACCCCCGGACUGCUCUGGAAACUGUGUAACUGGAGUGCAGGAGAGGCAGGCGGAAUUCCAGUGUAGCGGUGAAAUGCGUAGAUAUUAGGAGGAACACCAGUGGCGAAGGCGGCCUGCUGGACUGUAACUGACGUUGAGGCUCGAAAGCGUGGGGAGCAAACAGGAUUAGAUACCCUUGUA